rnacentral:rRNA from 1 species
AUUGAACGCUGGCGGCAUGCCUUACACAUGCAAGUCGAACGGUAACAGAUCUUCGGAUGCUGACGAGUGGCGAACGGGUGAGUAAUAUAUCGGAACGUGCCCAGUCGUGGGGGAUAACGCAGCGAAAGCUGUGCUAAUACCGCAUACGAUCUAUGGAUGAAAGCGGGGGAUCGCAAGACCUCGCGCGAUUGGAGCGGCCGAUAUCAGAUUAGGUAGUUGGUGGGGUAAGGCCCACCAAGCCAACGAUCUGUAGCUGGUCUGAGAGGACGACCAGCCACACUGGAACUGAGACACGGUCCAGACUCCUACGGGAGGCAGCAGUGGGGAAUUUUGGACAAUGGGCGCAAGCCUGAUCCAGCCAUGCCGCGUGAGUGAAGAAGGCCUUCGGGUUGUAAAGCUCUUUCAGGUAGGAAGAAAUCGCACUUUCUAAUACAAGGUGUAGGAUAGACGGUACCGAUCAGAAGAAGCACCGGCUAACUACG